rnacentral:lncRNA from 1 species
UUCUCUUGCAUCUCUUUCAAGAAUAAUAACUACAACAACAACAACUACCCAGUUAUCCCACCAGGUGGGGUAUGGGGAGGGUAAUAUGUAGACGAGCCUUACCCUGCCCGUAAGGACAGAGAGGCUGUUUCCAAACGACCCUCAAGAAUAAUAACUACAAUAUAUAAUUUUAUUCAGCUGGGUUGUCAGUCCUAUAUGAUCGACCUAUUGUGCCUCAAUCGUCUUAAUCAGUAAGCUCUCUUCUCCAGUCCAGUUUCUUACGUGUCAAGUUGUUUCUGAGUGUCUGGAUAUGGGUUCUGUUUCUCUUUUUUCCUCGUUUCCGCUUCACCCUUCGCCACAAUGCUUCUUCCUUUUUUUCUUCUUUCUUUAGUCGUGGGCCAAAGAGAUUGUUUUCUUUAUGAUAUUUUAAAUUGAUCCAAUAUAUCAAACAUUAUCCUCCUGAUUAGGCGUUUUCAAUCAAUAUCUACUUAUCCGUGCCCCACAAAUAGUUAGUAGUGUAACUCUGUAAUUAAAAUUUUCCACUUCGAUAAACUGAAAAAUAUGCCAUUUAUAAUGAUUCUACUUUAUCCUCGUAGUAUUCCCUCAUGUUGUACCAUGUCUGUAUGUAAAUUGUUGAAGUAAAUGCUGAAUUUCUUAUGAUGCUUCUGUAAUGGUAAAUAGGCAAACAGUUGUUUAGUUACUUAGGUAUGGGCAAAUUACAUAAUAACAUGAGAAAUUUUACUGACUGAUUCAUGAUUUUAUGUGAAUAAAAAUGGCUUCCAUAAUGCAUGUUGGGGUGAAGUGUAUGAAAGAAGAUAUUAGAUUGUUAGAGUAGGAAAUAUUAUGGGAAUAACGUUGAAUGCUUCUUAUUAAUCCUAUACAAAUGAUGGAUUACAUAGCUAUUUAUAGACUUGUUGGAUAGUUCUAGAUUUUUCCACAUACAUGAG